rnacentral:rRNA from 1 species
UACGUAGGGGGCAAGCGUUAUCCGGAUUCACUGGGUGUAAAGGGAGCGUAGACGGCCAUGCAAGCCUGGAGUGAAAGCCCGGGGCCCAACCCCGGGACCGCUCUGGGAACUGUGCGGCUGGAGUGCGGGAGGGGCAGGCGGAAUUCCUGGUGUAGCGGUGAAAUGCGUAGAUAUCAGGAGGAACACCGGCGGCGAAGGCGGCCUGCUGGACCGCGACUGACGUUGAGGCUCGAAAGCGUGGGGAGCAAACAGG